AUGAAGCCUGAUGAAACUGUUUAUGAUGCUGACAUGGAGUUGACUGCCAGUGAUGCAAGUGAACUACUCACAGUUACAGCAAAAGGCAAUUAUAAAUCGCGCCAAAGUAAAAUUAAUAGUGCUAAUUCUGACAAAUUACCAAAUUUCAGAAAAGUAAAAUAUUCUAAGGAUAAAGAAAAAAUUAAAAGCAAGACUGAAGUCCAUUCAAAUGUCCAAGUAGAAGAAAGGCACUCUAGGGCUGACAAUAAUGAAAUUUCAGAAACUACUGAUUCACCAACUCAGCUAUCCCAAAGUCAGACAGAACAGCUACCUACACAAAAUUCUGUGGAGCAACAGAGUAGAACAAGUAAAGCUAAGGAUACCAGGAGGACAUACCAGAUUAAUGUAAUGAGUGCAAGAAAACAAGAGACAAAUAAAGGAACUUUCUCAGAAAUGUCUGGAGAAAUGGAAAGUAGAGUACAAAAAAGAGACUCAAGAUCAUCUGCUAACAAGAUCCCACCAGAAGUUUACUGUGCUGAAAAUUUACCGUUCCAAGAUAACAUUUCUGAUGAACUGCCUUUACAGAAGGGCUUUCUGAAUACAAAUGAGAAAGAUAACAAACUGACAGUAAAGAGGAAAACUUCUCAAAACCUUUCCAAAGCAAACAUAGCAAAAUCCUGUAGAGAGGAAAAUGGCCAGUACGGACAAUAUAUUUCAAAAAAAUCUCCAACAGAGAUAAACCAAUGUGACAGCAACAAGAGAAAACAAGACCAAAAAAAUAUUAUAAAGAGAAAAAACAACAAAAAAAGUAGUCACAGACAAGGUAGAGAAACUGAAAAUGACAGCCCUCAUAAAGUCAGUCAGAAAAUAGACCAAAAGAGCAGCCAGCAUUCACCAGGCAGAUUGAAGCGUGCAUUGUCAAAGGCCAGCCGGAAAGCAUAUGUAAUACCAAAGGAAACUCUUACAAGGUUCUCAGUUUGUAAAAAUGAGGAAUUAAAAAAUAAGGAUUCAUUGCUUGCUGGAAGGGCUGGAAAGAAAGUAACUGUAACUCAGCCAAUGCAAGUAGUUUUAGUUACUCAGAAUGGUGUAGCUAUGAAUACAUCACAAGCUGAAAAACAGGUUGAUAAUGAUGCUAGCGGGUUAAAGAAGGUAGAUUCCUCAGCGUUGGCAAAUGAAACCUCCCAUAUAAGUAAUUUUCCUGAUAAGCAUGUAAAACAGAAACAGAGGUUUAGUUCUGAUAUUACUGAGACCAGACAAGAAAAAAGAAAAAGUUAUUUCAGGCAUAGUGAUCAGGGGGGUCAGAAUAUUUUGGAUGACCAGGAAGUCCCUCAUGAAAUGAAUUCUUUUGUGAGUAAGUUGAAGCCCAUGAUUGAAGUUGAAUGGUGUAAGAAUAUGCCAUUUAAGGCAGUUAGCUUUUCUCAGGAGGGCUUUUGCAAUGGGGAGCUCCCAGCUCUUGAUAACCACAAUGCUUCCAUCAAUUUCUCUAUACUGAAAAGCCCUGAAAUCCAUGGGCAAAAUGAUCAUAAUGAAACACUGGAUGCUGAAAAAGAAGAACAAAAUAUGGAUCAUAUUUCUAAACAGAGUAACAAAAAUACUCUGGCACCUUGUCAUGGAAGAAGAGCUUUCCAAGAUCUGACAAAUACUAGUAUACAACUUCACACUUCUGUCCCUAAAUCCCCCCAAAUUUUAGAAGACUCAGCAGCACCACUGAGACGAAGCAGACCCACUAUUUGCUACAAGGAACCCAGUCUAAGCAGAAAAUUAAGGCGAGGGGAUGAAUUUACAGAUACACAAUUCCUGAAUUCCCCAAUCUACAAAGUAAAAAAUAAAAGAAAUUUUAAAAGCAAAUCAAAAUUUUAUUGAAGAACAGAGAAUUGCCUUUAGGGGCAAUACUUCUAAAAUGGGUACAAUUGUUUAUAUAUAUAUGUAAAUGUUUAGCAAUAUAGAGUAUUUGUUGUUCUUUGAUUAAUAAAGGUCUUCCACAGUGAAAUUUUCUGGAGAAG
ensembl:lncRNA